GUUACGUUCUGCUGGCCCCACACAACCGCUUACCCCCUGCAGCCUUAUCUUCUCACGCAAACGCCCCCAGCCACCCAUUCACACCCAUCCCUUCUUCCUUCUUCCUUCUUCCAGAUAGCUCCUGCCCACCACCAGCGCCUCCCUUCUACUUCUUUUUGCUGUUGCUAGCUGCUGCAACUCCGGCCAGCAUGCUUCCAGGCUGCCGUCAGGUCACAUUACAACCAAAAAUUGCACUCGUUUUUGUUGUUGUUGCUACUCCAAGGGGGUGCUACGACAGCUAUUUUUGAGCACGCCAUGAGCUGCGGUAAUAGGACGGCUCCCGGGGGUGGCAUUCGUGGCCAUGGCAAGGUGGUGGCCACCUGGCCGGAGCUGUAGCGAUCAGGACGUUGCUUUGCGAGAGGCAGUCUCAAGCACUGCAAGCCGCAUUUCUGGAGUGAUACAACUGGUGACCUGCAGUGCUGGAAGCGGCAUACGACGAUGCUACAACCGGUGUGCGGCGGUGCUGCGACCGGCGGCGACGGUCGUCAAUGAUUUCAGCGUAAGUGGGAAAUGCUUCAACCAGCGUAGGAAAAGCUUCAACCGGUGGUGGAAAAAGCUUCAACCGGUGUGACGAAAAAGUUUCGACCCGUGGAAGAAAGCUUCAACUGGUAGCGCAAAAGCUUCAAGCGACGGUGGAAAAAGCUUCAAGCGGCAUGGAGGGAAAAGCUUCAACCUGUGAAAAAAGCUACAACCAUAGUGUGGGGAGCUGCAACCGUGAAAUAUUUUUGCUGGAACCAGUGACCGCGGCGAGCGAGACGGUCACUGCGGCGAGCACGACGGUCACCACGGCGAGCUGGAAACCAUGGCUAGGACUGUGGUCGGGGGGUGGGGGGUGGAGGGGUGCUGCAACCCGCGUCUCUGUGUGCUGGAACUGCUACUAUGGCGAGCUGCAAGGUUGGAUCGGUGCUUUUUUGCUGGAACCGUGGCUGCCCGGCAAGGAUGGCAAGCGGCGGUGAGCCGGUGAGCUUCGCGGCCGGCCGUCUCACUCGGGGUAAUCGGCGGGAUCGUUGGGGUGGUUACUAUGGGCGCCGCCGGGACGGGAGGAGAAGUGGAAGACGAGGGACGGGGAAGAAGAGGAUGCGGAGGCCAGAUCGGACGGCUGCGCUUCGCUGCAUCGGGCGGCUGGGGCUGGACCGGCGCAAUUAUUGGGCCGGCGCACCGGUGCCCAGUACUCGCCCUGUACAUGGCCAUGUGUGUGGCCGGCUGGGUUGUGUCCAGUAAUGGCCGGCCCUUGUUUAAUUAGGCUAGGUAGUAUUAGUUUAGUACUAAUUUAGCCCAUUAGCAAAUGGCAAGCGGACCCCAGGCUAGUUAAUCUAAUUAACAAGAUUAGUUUCUUUGCUGCCUAUGGCAUGUGGGCCACCGCCUCCCCUUUUGGCUAGUCAAAUUGACUUGGUCAAUUCGGAUUAAACUAAUUAUAAUAAUUCAUCCCCAGUGUCAUGCUACAGUGACCUUACCCUAAUGGUGCCAUGUCAUCAUGUUUAACUAAGCCAAAUUUCCAUUUGAUAAAAAUCAAAGCCAUUUUCAAAUUUAUAAUAACACCAAAUAAAAUAUUUCUUCAAACCAAAAACUAAAAUGUUCGAGAUGUUGCAAGUAUUCACUAAGUAAUUGUCUUGUAGAAACCAGCAUCUUUUGAAUUUUUAAAAUGGCCUUAACCUAUUUAAAAUAGGGCUAGCAGCAUUAAAUAUACGCACAUAAAUUUAAAACUAAAUUUGAACAACUCUUUUGGCCCCAAACUUUUUGUGCCAGCCUAGACCGUAGCCAAGUAUUUUUGUGGUAAUAUCGCAUCCAACAAAAAUUAAAUGGUGUCCAAAUUAAACCCUUUAAGCGUCGCGCAAAGGGCGCCUCCUCGCGUGGUCCACGUCGGCAGGAGCUAUUGUUCCGUCGAUGAAGUAUUUUCGUCUCGUUGGUCCACUUGUCUGUUGGAUAUUAGUCUAGCAUACGAGAAAGAAAGGGGAAAACUUCCCAGAUACUACGUCGCCCCCUGAGCUCCCUUUCCUACUCCAGCACGCAAGCGGUCCCCUUUCUCCCACGCCACCCCUCGGCCGCCGCCGCCGUCGCCUCUCCCAUCCCAGAUCCUUCUGCUCCGCGGCGCCCCAGGUCCCCUUUCUAUUUCCCGUCGAUCUGCGGAGGCUCCUUCCUCGGCUACUUCUUCAAGCGAUGACCACAACAAGGCAUGGCUGCGGGAGACGAAGGAGGGCGUGUCCGGAUGUGGUAGCCGCAGGAGGAAGGGACGGGGAGAGAAACAAGUAGGAUGACGAGACCGUGGGCCGCGAAGGUGGAUGGGUGGCAGACAUGGCCUCUCCCUCAUCUCCGUCUCUGUCGUUUCUUCCUCUGAUCUCUUCAAUUAGCCCCAGUUGUCAUCCAGAUCCGGAAUAUAUAUUAGAUCUCCGAGGUUGAACUUGCAAAAGAUGCCGCUGAAUGAGUGGCACUUGUUUGAACACUGGCCAGAACCCGGCGUCGAUGACGACAAGAAGAAAAGCUUCUUUGGCCCAGUGUGUCUUCGGUUGUAUCCUUGAAUUAUUUGGGUUCAGUGACCGAAGGUAAUCUCAUAUAAUAGAAAUAUUCUAUUUAUGCUAGAUUAUUUGACCUGUUCAUUUUAGGUUCAUGUGUUUGGUUUGGAUGGCUAUUGAUGAGUCAAAAAACACAAGCUCCGUACUCUUGUAAUGCUUUCUGUUGUGCACUUGAGACCCUAGAGUAUGUAAUGAAAUUCAUGAUGUAGCUACAAACAUGCACUACUUGCAAUCGCAGUCUGACCAGUGCAUCUUUAUCUUCAUCCGUUUUCAUCGAUAUUCUACUCAAGCGAUCCUGGAGGUUAAGCACUAAACUGUACGCCGAAGACACUCACGGAUAUGGUGUGGAGAGGCGGUACAUUAUUUUGGCAAUGAUGCAAAGGUGGCACAUGAAGGCAUGGGUAACAAUAUAUGAUGUAAACAUUAGCUCAUGUUGAAUGGAUGGUAAACACAAGGCACGAGUGACCCCGGACCGGAGGCUGUACCAAUCAUGUUUAUAGCGCUACAACCUGGAAUCACGUCCACUAUUUAUUAUCUUGGUAAUUCACUGCAUAUGAAGAAAGGACAACCAUUCAUGGGUAUGUAUGCCCUAAUCUGUUUGUGCUCCUUGCAAGGAAAUUCUGUUAAACAAUCUUAUGUCGUCGAACAUUUCGCUUUUUAGUCCAAUCUGAAGUACCAGUACAAAUGGUACAUUAACUUUUAGAUGUUUAUAUAUUCAUUUUCCGUGUUCUCUGAAGUCUGAACAUUACUUGAUUUAUCGAUUGGAUCAAAAUGGUUCUAAUGCAUUUUCAUCUUAAUUGCUUCUUGCUUCAGUUUUAAAGCAGCCUUAUAAUGCAGAUCAUUUUAGAUGGAUAUAUAACGACAGGUCAAUGAUUACACAAUGAGUAAACGGUAGACCUGGUCUCUCCCUUCUUCCUUAAAUUGCGUCUAGAUUUUCUAAAUUGUUUGUAGUUUUGACUUCCACUUGUGACUUGUCCAUGAAGGAUGCUUAAAUGGUCUAAUGGCCUGAUAUUGCCAAAGGAUCCCCUAGAUAUAACCACCCCAAGGUACUUCUUUGAGACAAUGACCUACAAGUGUUUAUGAGCCAUGCAUUCGUAUUAUGAAUUGGAAGAACAUCAAUCAGCAAGUAUUUGUGGCUAAUGUCUCCUAGAUGAGAUAAUUUCCCCCAAACUGUGUGUGAUCCAUUGCUCUAGGUAGCAACAUCAUGGAACCGUAGUGUUAAUUUUUAUGCCCUACAUUCUACCGCAAAUACAUUUGGAUUUGCAUAUUUUGAGUCCUGCUACUACUAAUUUGACUUAUGAUGUCCAUGGUUUAGGAUGAUUAGUCGCAGCUCACUUCUAUCAUGAGGUAUGUGUUGUGUUCUCUCGGUUGGCUACUUUUACAUUAUUAUAGGAUUUAAGGCACACAUGAUAUAUUGAACGUCAUGAAGCAAGAUAUAUUUCCAUUUCUUCAGUUUGUAAUAAUUGAUGGAAAGUUACGUCCAGUAAUUAGAAUGAUUAUUUCUUGACCGUUGUUCUCUGGAGCUCAUUAUUUAGUCUUUUUCUCUUAGAUUUUUGACUAAUCUGGCUGCUCUGGUCCUCCAGUUUCUUAUUUGCAGGUGAUGAUCUUGCUGCAACUUGCUUGCUGCCUUGGUUUACAGUGAGCUAGCUGCUGCAGCCCUUUUGUUUCUUUAGAGGACACAGAUGACAGAAAUGCCGCCAUGGAAUCAGGCAACCAAUAACCAGAGCGCAGCUGUCAACUCAUUUUAUUCAUUGGCCAGACUACGAAGCAUGGAAAGAGCAUCCAGGAGGAAAUAAUAUGCGUACACCAUGAUGGACACUGAGAAAUCUGACAUACAGUUAUGGCGUUGUGCGGUUGGAGGUGCUAAUAGGUAGUGCACAUGUGCAACAAAUAUAACUGGGAGGUGAUCUCAUAACAUGGGCAAAAAAUUACAUCAGGGACAAUUCUCUGGGCCCAGGGAUCCUCGACACUAAUCUGGAUUUGGAAGAUAAAGCCGCUGUCGAUCAUUGAUUUCUUGAAAAUUGCUCUGCUAUGUAGUUACCUGUCGCUGUGUGAGAGAUUGUCGGCAUGUUGUACUUAUGUUAAGCGAGUCGAAAGAUAGGGCCUGGGCGAGCUCCACAUCCUUGUCUGCUUCUGAUCAUUCUUCCAAGAAGGAUAGCUCAUGAUGUAUGUUUAUAUAAGUUCGGUUAGUGAAGGCAAUACCCGUUGUUCCCUUUACCUUGUUAUUACUUAUGGUGGGGAUUUGUGGAGUCUGCACUCAUUCUUUCAAACUGGAAUACCAGUUUUUUGUGAUGUUUAUUUCUCCAGGAUCCUAGCCCCUGUGCUCCUUUAGCUGAAGUGGAAACAUUUUUGACAAGACAAGAACAGCUCCUAUGAAUAUUAGGAAAUUGGAGUGACUUUCGUGCUUGCAGAUACACUCUCUAGGUGAACUAUGAACUUUUCUCCCUUUCUACCCCUUGACAAGGAGAUCCAGGAAGGAGGCGAGUCUCUUCCACGACGUCUCUGUCCAGGAACAUUAAGGGAGCUCCAUGUCUUGGUUUGCCGCACAUACGUUUACCACGCAGAGGAGCACAUGUGAUCCUCAUAAUAGCAAGUUUGUAAUGAAUUCUGGAACCCAUCAGGAGGUUAAAGUCAGCAAAGCAUAUUCACCUAUAGUCAAA